rnacentral:snRNA from 1 species
UAUCUCUGGCUCCUUUGCAUUUAACCGAGAAAAUCUUUCGCCUUUUACUAAAGAUUUCCGUGCUAA